rnacentral:misc_RNA from 1 species
UCGUACAACCGAGGUGCUAGGGCUGUCGCUGACCCUUCGAAGGUCGUGCACGCCCGAGCGCUCUCACCACAAUCCAUCUCACCCCUUUGUGCAUCACCGCGUGGGUCCCCCUUUGCGGGAGGGCCCGCGUUUUCACAUAAAACUUGAUACAGUUUAGAAUGUUUAUUUUUGCGGUCACACGCAAUCAAUA